GUGCUCGCUUUGGCAGCACAUAUACUAAAAAUUGGAACGAUAAAGAGAAGAUUAGCAUGGCCCCCGCGCAAGGAUGACACGCGCAAGUUCGUGAAGCAUUCCAUAAAAAA
ensembl:snRNA U6 U6 spliceosomal RNA